AAACAGUCAAACCCUAUAUUUGCGUGUCCAACUUUGACUGUCCGUUUUAUAUGAAAAUUUUUUAUAAUUCGUAUUUUCAUUAUUGUUAUAUGAUAAAACAUGAUUAAUAUUUUAUGCGUGACUUGUCUUUUUAAUUUUUUUCAUAAUUUUUUUAAAUAAGAUGGACGGUGGCACGAAAACAAGGGUUUGUCUUUUU
rnacentral:pre_miRNA from 1 species